UACGGAGGGUGCAAGCGUUAAUCGGAAUUACUGGGCGUAAAGCGUGCGCAGGCGGUUUUGUAAGCCAGAUGUGAAAUCCCCGGGCUUAACCUGGGAAUGGCAUUUGGGACUGCAAGGCUGGAGUGCGGCAGAGGAGACUGGAAUUCCUGGUGUAGCAGUGAAAUGCGUAGAUAUCAGGAGGAACACCGAUGGCGAAGGCAGGUCUCUGGGCUGACACUGACGCUCAUGCACGAAAGCGUGGGGAGCAAACAGG
rnacentral:rRNA from 1 species